rnacentral:rRNA from 1 species
CGAGGCGGGGUGCAUACCAUGCAGUCGACGGUGACUUGGAGCUUGCUCCAAGGGAUCAGUGGCGAACGGGUGAGAAACACGUGAGUAACCUGCCCCAGACUCUGGAAUAAGCGCUGGAAACGGCGUCUAAUACCGGAUACGAGACAGAGAGGCAUCUCUACUGUCUGGAAAGUUUUUCGGUCUGGGAUGGACUCGCGGCCUAUCAGCUUGUUGGUGAGGUAAUGGCUCACCAAGGCGACGACGGGUAGCCGGCCUGAGAGGGCGACCGGCCACACUGGGACUGAGACACGGCCCAGACUCCUACGGGAGGCAGCAGUGGGGAAUAUUGCACAAUGGGCGAAAGCGGUGAUGCAGCGACGCCGCGUGAGGGAUGACUGCCUUCGGGUUGUAAACCUCUUUCAGCAGGGAAGAAGCGAAAGUGACGGUACCUGCAGAAGAAGCACCGGCUAACUACGUGCCAGCAGCCGCGGUAAUACGUAGGGUGCGAGCGUUGUCCGGAAUUAUUGGGCGUAAAGAGCUUGUAGGCGGUUUGUCGCGUCUGCUGUGAAAAUCCGGGGCUCAACCCCGGACUUGCAGUGGGUACGGGCAGACUAGAGUAUGGUAGGGGAGACUGGAAUUCCUGGUGUAGCGGUGAAAUGCGCAGAUAUCAGGAGGAACACCGAUGGCGAAGGCAGGUCUCUGGCCAUUACUGACGCUGAGAAGCGAAAGCAUGGGGAGCGAACAGAUUAGAUACCCUGGUAGUCCAUGCCGUAAACGUUGGGCGGCUAGGUGGUGGGACUCAUUUCCACGAGUUCCGUGCCGCAGCUAACGCAUUAAAGGCCCCGCCU